rnacentral:rRNA from 1 species
UACGGAGGGUGCGAGCGUUGUUCGGAAUCACUGGGCGUAAAGCGCGUGUAGGCGGCCCACUAAGUCUGAUGUGAAAGCCCGGGGCUCACCCCCGGAAGUGCAUUGGAAACUGGUAGACUCGAGUCCCGGAGAGGAGAGUGGAAUUCCUGGUGUAGCGGUGAAAUGCGUAGAUAUCAGGAGGAACACCGGUGGCGAAGGCGGCUCUCUGGACGGUGACUGACGCUGAGACGCGAAAGCGUGGGGAGCAAACAGG